rnacentral:rRNA from 1 species
CACGUAGGGCGCAAGCGUUGUCCGGAAUUAUUGGGCGUAAAGAGCUCGUAGGCGGUCUGUUACGUCUGCUGUGAAAACCCGGGGCUUAACCCUGGGCUUGCAGUGGAUACGGGCAGACUAGAGGCAGGUAGGGGAGAAUGGAAUUCCCGGUGUAGCGGUGAAAUGCGCAGAUAUCGGGAGGAACACCGGUGGCGAAGGCGGUUCUCUGGGCCUGUUCUGACGCUGAGGAGCCGAAAGC